GUAUGUGUGGGUGUGGGUGGGUGGGUGGUGGUGGGGGUGACUUAGCCCGGGGCGCCGGCGCCGGUUCGGGAGUAAAGAUGGAGCGGGAGUCACGGAGGCGCAUCCAUGAACUCCGCUUCUUUGGAUUUCGGGGCCCAGCUGUUCUCUCUCCCCGGAGCCUGGGCUGCCGGAAUCUUACUGAGCUGCAGGAGCGCUCUGUCUCUGUCUCUCCUUUUCCUCUCUCCCUGCCCUCCCAUCUCUUCUUCUCUCUGUCUUUCUCCUCUCUUUCCUUUUCUCUCCCCUUCCCUCUUCCUCUCUCCAUCUCUGUGUGUGUGUGUCCCCCCCGCCCCCGGCAUUAACCGAUAUCCCCAACCUCACCUGCUGUUUUGGAGACCAGCCUCUCCGAGCCCGGGCAGCUGGGAGUGUCCCCCCGCCAGGCCCUUCGGAGGAGCCCGGGUUGCCCGCUCUCGCUCCCCUCCCGCAGUGCAUUGUUAUGCAGCCCCCUUUGUUCCGAGUUCCAGCCCGUUUCUCUCCACCUCGGAACCGCUUUGGGGCUUGGCCUGCCUCUCGCCAGCUUAUCCUCUGCGCGGCUCUGAGUGUGGCGCCGGCCGUCAGUAUUCCCCGGAUGCCUAAAGAGUAAACAGAGGCAAGAUCGUAAUGGUUCUGAUACCUGAUUAGCAUGGAACUGUGUACUUCAGGCUGGCCUUGAGCUUACUAUGUAGUAUAGGGUUGGCCUCGAAGGAGAUCCUCCUACUUCAGCCUCCCGAGUGCUGGGAUUACAGCAACACCUAAGAAUCUCCAGCGGUUGUCCUCAUCCAAUAGUCAUCCGGGUCCCAGGAAGAGCAAGCUUCAUGUGACCGGGACCACACACAGGCGGUCUCCAUGGGAAUCCAGCUGCGCUCAACAGUCUCACUGGCUUGGGCCACUGGUGGCAAUGCAUGACUGUCCCACAGGCCGCUGGUACCACCUGUCGGGACCGUUCCAUGCCACCCGAGGGGACACUCAUGCACGUACCACUGGUGGCUCAGGGCCGCCUGGCCGCGAGGCAUACGUUGUGAUCUGUUCUUCUAGAGCUCGGAAGCAGGACUGAGAUAACGAUGACCAGGCUCCACCAUCUCAGCUGGUCCUGAAAAGCUGGCUUCCUGCUUUCGUGGCUGGGCCAGUCGGGGCCCCUGCCUUAGCGUGAGCCCCGGUCCAGCUAUUCGAACCAGAGAACCUUCCCCAUCUGCUAUUUCCUUGUUCAGGACCACCUUUAUCUUUGUCAGAGCUGUGC
rnacentral:lncRNA from 1 species